CAAACAAACAAAAGACCAAACAAAAACAACAGAGGUUCUACCUUCAUUCGUGCAGUCAUCGAAUAUAUCUGCUAAGCACUGACAAGCAUUGGUAAGGAUCUGCUCCGAACACAGAACCUUCCCCCACCUCAACACCACCACUCCCGCCCCCAGAAAUGGAAGUCAAGGCAGCACACGCCUGUGACUCCAGCACUUGGGAGUGGAGAACGUAGGAUUUGGAACACCUCUGUUGACUACAGAGGGAAUUCAAGACCUUGUCUCAAAAACAUGCAACAAACAAAGCUACAAUAAAGGGAUGGUGUUCUCUAGGAAGCACCUGCUGGAGGAGGAGUAGACUUUAAAGAUCAGCCCUAGGGGAAAGGGAUAUAAAGUCAACCAAACAGAGAACUCAGUGAAACCUUCUACAUGGGUGUUACUGGGGCUCCUGUCCACACACUUGCCACAACUGCAUAUAUACCUUCAAUUUAGAAAGAAUUCACAAGCACGCUUGUUUUAUGGCGUCAGCUCUCCGGCCUUAGAAGUUUUCACUGGAACAGACAAAAACCGCUGUACCCAGAGCAGCCUUGAGUUCUCCACAGUCACCCACUUGUCUCCAGGGAGGAAGGAAGGAACUCAAGAGUCUCAAAAUAGCAGCCCGGUCCUAGUCCUUCAACAUGUGCAGGUUACAUCACUUCGCAGGGCUAGCUGUGACAUCACUUCUAGACCUGAACGCAACCCACCCCGCCGCUGAGAAAAUGGAAAAUGCUGAUCCGCAGCCUCAGGACUUCCUUGCCCAGAGGCGAUUUCUUGUCCCGCCUAAACCUGACAGCAGGGCAGGUGGGUGUAGGGCCCAGCAAAGGAGCCUUUGAAAGCAGGAACCCAGACUCUGCAGGUCAGCUUGGAUCAGAUCCAGACUGGGUUCCACCCCACCACACACCCCCACCCCCUGGUGAUAAAGCAAUCUGUUUAUGGAGACGCUUUUGUGAGGUUUACAGAAUCUCUGCAUGAGAGGGAGCUGGUUCUGGCCUGGUCUCUAGGUUACCCACCACACCAAGCCUCUUCAGUAUGGAACUUGAGACGACACAGAAGAACUUCAUAUCAAUGAUUACUUGUCGUGGCCUGGCAUGUCUCAGCCCCAAACCACAGAAGCCACGAGGUCUGGCCCAAGAGGGGGAGCAUGGACUUGGGAAUUCCUAGUAACCCAAUGGCAAUAAAGACCAGACAUAGAC
rnacentral:lncRNA from 1 species